AGUGAACGCUGGCGGUAGGCCUAACACAUGCAAGUCGAACGGCAGCACAGUAAGAGCUUGCUCUUACGGGUGGCGAGUGGCGGACGGGUGAGGAAUAUAUCGGAAUCUACUUUUUCGUGGGGGUUAACGUAGGGAAACUUACGCUAAUACCGCAUACGACCUACGGGUGAAAGCAGGGGAUCUUCGGACCUUGCGCGAUUGAAUGAGCCGAUGUCGGAUUAGCUAGUUGGCGGGGUAAAGGCCCACCAAGGCGACGAUCCGUAGCUGGUCUGAGAGGAUGAUCGGCCACACUGGAACUGGGACACGGUCCAGACUCCUACGGGAGGCAGCAGUGGGGAAUAUUGGACAAUGGGCGCAAGCCUGAUCCAGCCAUACCGCGUGGGUGAAGAAGGCCUUCGGGUUGUAAAGCCCUUUUGUUGGGAAAGAAAAGCAGCAGGUUAAUACCCCGCUGUUCUGACGGUACCCAAAGAAUAAGCACCGGCUAACUUCGUG
rnacentral:rRNA from 1 species